rnacentral:rRNA from 1 species
UAGGGAAUCUUCCACAAUGGACGCAAGUCUGAUGGAGCAACGCCGCGUGAGUGAAGAAGGUCUUCGGAUCGUAAAGCUCUGUUGUUGGUGAAGAAGGAUAGAGGCAGUAACUGGUCUUUAUUUGACGGUAAUCAACCAGAAAGUCACGGCUAACUACGUGCCAGCAGCCGCGGUAAUACGUAGGUGGCAAGCGUUGUCCGGAUUUAUUGGGCGUAAAGCGAGCGCAGGCGGAAUGAUAAGUCUGAUGUGAAAGCCCACGGCUCAACCGUGGAACUGCAUCGGAAACUGUCAUUCUUGAGUGCAGAAGAGGAGAGUGGAACUCCAUGUGUAGCGGUGGAAUGCGUAGAUAUAUGGAAGGACACCAGUGGCGAAGGCGGCUCUCUGGUCUGCAACUGACGCUGAGGCUCGAAAGCAUGGGUAGCGAACAGGAUUAGAUACCCUGGUAGUCCAUGCCGUAAACGAUGAGCGCUAGGUGUUGGGGACUUUCCGGUCCUCAG